AUUAUUUUUCAGCCUUUUGGCUGAGAUCAAGUGUAGUAUCUGUUCUUAUCAGUUUAAUAUCUGAUAUGUCCUCUAUCCAAGGACAAUAUAGCAAGUGGAGUUUGGAGUUUUGGAGCAGGGAGCUGGAAUAGGAGCUCACUCAGUCAUGCAUCAACCUUAGUAUUGCAGUACCUCCAGGAACUGUGCACCUCCA
ensembl:snRNA U2 U2 spliceosomal RNA